CAUGCAAUAACGUUAAAACUAAGUUAACUAAACUAAAAAGUUCUUUUUUGUGUAAUUUUUAUGGAACUUAAUUUUAAUUUUUUCUUGCCUUUUAUUUAUCUUAUUCUUUAGGGAAACAACUAUUUAGUACCAGUAUUAAUUCCAUUAGAUUCAAUUCCAGUCCUUAGAAAACUAGCUGAUUUAAAGAUUAGGAAAAAAGCUGGUAUUUUGGAAAAUAAUCUAUAUCUUUUCCCCAGCACAAAAAAUAGUACCAAUCGUGUUUCAGGUUGGCAUGCACUGCAUUACAUAUGAAUGAAAAUAAAAAACAACUUAAUAAAACCAAAUAAACUUACUGCAACAUCUAAUCGUCACAGAGUAAGCACUCUAUUUGCUAUGUUGAAUUUACCACCACAAUAAAGAGAGCUUUUUUUACCAACAUAUGGGACAUAGUCAAGCCAUUAACCAAAAUGUGUAUCAAGCUCCACCAGCAUUACUAGAAAUACUAAAAGUUGGUAGACAUUUAAUUGAUCUUGAAAAUGGGAUACAAAAGAAUGCUGUCAAUACUGUACCUCAGACAUCAACCAGUGGUUUAUAUUAAAUUUUUUUUAAUUUUUAGUUUUUUAUAUCUUACUUGUGUACUACAUGUAAAUGAACUACAAGUUAAACAGGUGUAGUUAGCAGAUAAUGUUGCAGCUAUCCAGUAAACACACAAACGUCUAUUAAACGUCCAAACAACGUUUCGACAAAGCGUUUAGAUUUCGUUGAUUAUCCGUUUAGAAUGAAUUCCAGAUUAACGUUUGGAACAAACGUUCAUAAAACAUGUAUAUUCAAACGUAUUUUAGACGUCUAUUAAAGGAAUAUUAUACGUAUGUAAAGCAUUUAGAUUUGGUCUAAUUUACGUUUAAA